UUUGCGGUUCUUCGACCGUGCAAAGGUAGCAUAAUCAUUUGCCUUAUAAUUGAAGGCUUGUAUGAAUGGUUUGACAAGAAUGUAGCUGUCUCUUUAUAAUUAAAUAGAAUUUUAUUUAUAGGUGAAGAAGCCUAUAUAAUAUUGAAAGACAAGAAGACCCUAUCGAGCUUGAAAGAAAUUAAUAAAUUCUAUAUAUUUAAUAUAAUAUAAAAAAUUAGUUAUUAAAAAUUUUGGUUGGGGCGACUAAGGAACAAAUAAAGCUUCCUUUAUUUUAGUAAUACAACCAAGUAAGGAUCCAAAAGCUUUGAUUAAAGGAAUUAGUUACCGUAGGGAUAACAGCAUUAUCUUUUUUGAGAGCUCUAAUCGAAAAAAAGGUUUGUGACCUCGAUGUUGGACCAGAAUAUCCUAAAGAUGCAGCCGUCUUUAAGGGUUGGUCUGUUCGACCAUUAAAGUUCUACGUGAAA
rnacentral:rRNA from 1 species